rnacentral:misc_RNA from 1 species
GUGAACGCCCUCACGGGCUUAUACUACUCCAAACCUCUGUGAACCGUGCCCUUCGGGGCUAUUUUACAAACAUGGUGUAAUGAACGUCAUAUAUCAUAACAAAACA